rnacentral:rRNA from 1 species
AGCGUACACGGUGGAUGCCCUGGCAGUCAGAGGCGAUGAAGGACGUGCUAAUCUGCGAUAAGCGUCGGUAAGGUGAUAUGAACCGUUAUAACCGGCGAUUUCCGAAUGGGGAAACCCAGUGUGUUUCGACACACUAUCAUUAACUGAAUCCAUAGGUUAAUGAGGCGAACCGGGGGAACUGAAACAUCUAAGUACCCCGAGGAAAAGAAAUCAACCGAGAUUCCCCCAGUAGCGGCGAGCGAACGGGGAGCAGCCCAGAGCCUGAAUCAGUGUGUGUGUUAGUGGAAGCGUCUGGAAAGGCGCGCGAUACAGGGUGACAGCCCCGUACACAAAAAUGCACAUACUGUGAGCUCGAUGAGUAGGGCGGGACACGUGGUAUCCUGUCUGAAUAUGGGGGGACCAUCCUCCAAGGCUAAAUACUCCUGACUGACCGAUAGUGAACCAGUACCGUGAGGGAAAGGCGAAAAGAACCCCGGCGAGGGGAGUGAAAAAGAACCUGAAACCGUGUACGUACAAGCAGUGGGAGCCUCUUAAUGGGGUGACUGCGUACCUUUUGUAUAAUGGGUCAGCGACUUAUAUUCUGUAGCAAGGUUAACCGAAUAGGGGAGCCGAAGGGAAACCGAGUCUUAACUGGGCGUUAAGUUGCAGGGUAUAGACCCGAAACCCGGUGAUCUAGCCAUGGGCAGGUUGAAGGUUGGGUAACACUAACUGGAGGACCGAACCGACUAAUGUUGAAAAAUUAGCGGAUGACUUGUGGCUGGGGGUGAAAGGCCAAUCAAACCGGGAGAUAGCUGGUUCUCCCCGAAAGCUAUUUAGGUAGCGCCUCGUGAAUUCAUCUCCGGGGGUAGAGCACUGUUUCGGCAAGGGGGUCAUCCCGACUUACCAACCCGAUGCAAACUGCGAAUACCGGAGAAUGUUAUCACGGGAGACACACGGCGGGUGCUAACGUCCGUCGUGAAGAGGGAAACAACCCAGACCGCCAGCUAAGGUCCCAAAGUCAUGGUUAAGUGGGAAACGAUGUGGGAAGGCCCAGACAGCCAGGAUGUUGGCUUAGAAGCAGCCAUCAUUUAAAGAAAGCGUAAUAGCUCACUGGUCGAGUCGGCCUGCGCGGAAGAUGUAACGGGGCUAAACCAUGCACCGAAGCUGCGGCAGCGACACUAUGUGUUGUUGGGUAGGGGAGCGUUCUGUAAGCCUGCGAAGGUGUACUGUGAGGUAUGCUGGAGGUAUCAGAAGUGCGAAUGCUGACAUAAGUAACGAUAAAGCGGGUGAAAAGCCCGCUCGCCGGAAGACCAAGGGUUCCUGUCCAACGUUAAUCGGGGCAGGGUGAGUCGACCCCUAAGGCGAGGCCGAAAGGCGUAGUCGAUGGGAAACAGGUUAAUAUUCCUGUACUUGGUGUUACUGCGAAGGGGGGACGGAGAAGGCUAUGUUGGCCGGGCGACGGUUGUCCCGGUUUAAGCGUGUAGGCUGGUUUUCCAGGCAAAUCCGGAAAAUCAAGGCUGAGGCGUGAUGACGAGGCACUACGGUGCUGAAGCAACAAAUGCCCUGCUUCCAGGAAAAGCCUCUAAGCAUCAGGUAACAUCAAAUCGUACCCCAAACCGACACAGGUGGUCAGGUAGAGAAUACCAAGGCGCUUGAGAGAACUCGGGUGAAGGAACUAGGCAAAAUGGUGCCGUAACUUCGGGAGAAGGCACGCUGAUAUGUAGGUGAAGUCCCUUGCGGAUGGAGCUGAAAUCAGUCGAAGAUACCAGCUGGCUGCAACUGUUUAUUAAAAACACAGCACUGUGCAAACACGAAAGUGGACGUAUACGGUGUGACGCCUGCCCGGUGCCGGAAGGUUAAUUGAUGGGGUUAGCGGUAACGCGAAGCUCUUGAUCGAAGCCCCGGUAAACGGCGGCCGUAACUAUAACGGUCCUAAGGUAGCGAAAUUCCUUGUCGGGUAAGUUCCGACCUGCACGAAUGGCGUAAUGAUGGCCAGGCUGUCUCCACCCGAGACUCAGUGAAAUUGAACUCGCUGUGAAGAUGCAGUGUACCCGCGGCAAGACGGAAAGACCCCGUGAACCUUUACUAUAGCUUGACACUGAACAUUGAGCCUUGAUGUGUAGGAUAGGUGGGAGGCUUUGAAGUGUGGACGCCAGUCUGCAUGGAGCCGGCCUUGAAAUACCACCCUUUAAUGUUUGAUGUUCUAACGUUGGCCCCUGAUCGGGGUUGCGGACAGUGUCUGGUGGGUAGUUUGACUGGGGCGGUCUCCUCCUAAAGAGUAACGGAGGAGCACGAAGGUUGGCUAAUCCUGGUCGGACAUCAGGAGGUUAGUGCAAUGGCAUAAGCCAGCUUGACUGCGAGCGUGACGGCGCGAGCAGGUGCGAAAGCAGGUCAUAGUGAUCCGGUGGUUCUGAAUGGAAGGGCCAUCGCUCAACGGAUAAAAGGUACUCCGGGGAUAACAGGCUGAUACCGCCCAAGAGUUCAUAUCGACGGCGGUGUUUGGCACCUCGAUGUCGGCUCAUCACAUCCUGGGGCUGAAGUAGGUCCCAAGGGUAUGGCUGUUCGCCAUUUAAAGUGGUACGCGAGCUGGGUUUAGAACGUCGUGAGACAGUUCGGUCCCUAUCUGCCGUGGGCGCUGGAGAACUGAGGGGGGCUGCUCCUAGUACGAGAGGACCGGAGUGGACGCAUCACUGGUGUUCGGGUUGUCAUGCCAAUGGCACUGCCCGGUAGCUAAAUGCGGAAGAGAUAAGUGCUGAAAGCAUCUAAGCACGAAACUUGCCCCGAGAUGAGUUCU